CCUACGGGAGGCUGCAGUGAGGAAUAUAGGUCAAUGGACGAGAGUCUGAACCAGCCAAGUAGCGUGAAGGAUGACUGCCCUAUGGGUUGUAAACUUCUUUUAUAUGGGAAUAAAAUGUUCCACGUGUGGGAUUUUGUAUGUACCAUAUGAAUAAGGAUCGGCUAACUCCGUGCCAGCAGCCGCGGUAAUACGGAGGAUCCGAGCGUUAUCCGGAUUUAUUGGGUUUAAAGGGAGCGUAGGUGGAUUGUUAAGUCAGUUGUGAAAGUUUGCGGCUCAACCGUAAAAUUGCAGUUGAAACUGGCAGUCUUGAGUACAGUAGAGGUGGGCGGAAUUCGUGGUGUAGCGGUGAAAUGCUUAGAUAUCACGAAGAACUCCGAUUGCGAAGGCAGUUCACUGGACUGCAACUGACACUGAGGCUCGAAAGUGUGGGUAUCAAACAGGAUUAGAUACCCGUGUAGUC
rnacentral:rRNA from 1 species